rnacentral:rRNA from 1 species
AGAAUCAACGCUGGCGGCGUGCCUAACACAUGCAAGUCGAACGCGAAAGUGGAGCAAUCCAUGAGUAGAGUGGCAAACGGGUGAGUAACGCGUGGGCGACCUGCCUUCGAGUGGGGGAUAACAUUCCGAAAGGGAUGCUAAUACCGCAUAACAUCCUUCGUUUAGAUAUGAGGUGAUCAAAGCUGGGAGCAAUCCUGGCGCUUAGAGAGGGGCCCGCGUCCGAUUAGCUAGUUGGUGGGGUAAUGGCCUACCAAGGCUCCGAUCGGUA